rnacentral:rRNA from 1 species
UACGUAGGGUGCAAGCGUUGUCCGGAAUUAUUGGGCGUAAAGAGCUCGUAGGCGGUUUGUCGCGUCUGCUGUGAAAACUCGGGGCUUAACUCCGGGCCUGCAGUGGGUACGGGCAGACUAGAGUGCGGUAGGGGAGACUGGAAUUCCUGGUGUAGCGGUGAAAUGCGCAGAUAUCAGGAGGAACACCUGUGGUGUAGACGGCUUUCUGGACCAUUGCUGACGCUGAGACACGAAAGCGUGGGUAGCAAACAGG